CUGUACAGAAAGUGGUGCAAUGUCCCUUAGAUACCAUUGUCCGAUGCACUACAAUCGCUAGAUAGUAUUUUCAACAAGGCACAACGAGCUUAAAGUUUUUAAGUGUUGAGUCCAUACGACAGUAUGACACAGCGUACCUUUUCAAACACGAAUGAACUAAAUUCGACAUCUUUAAGCACUGCAGUAAACCAUUAAAGUUCGCACACGUGAAGUACGCCUUACGAGGGCAAUUUGCACUUGCACAGAGAGAAUGGUGGUAUGACUUAGAUACCACGAUUGUCCGGAAAUCCGUUAGAUGCGGACACUAUAGUCCAUAGAAUAGAAUUUUGCAAUAGGUAAAAAAUUAUUUUCCACCAUUUCAUAAGCCAUUGAUGAUUACUUCCGCGCGGAUCUGCCGCAGAGAACUUGCCUUUUCUGUCGACCCAAACAUACAGGAAAUACCGGGAAGAGGAACGGUCAUAACGAAGUUUCUAUCGAUGAUAGUGGAGACAGCAUCACCCUCUAGUAAUGAGUACCAUAUGAGCAUUGUCGGGACAUCAAAUCUUUGGAAUCAACUGUGCAUCAUCCACUUACGUCUCGUUGAUUUUGGUGGAAAACGAGGUGAAUGUUAAACUAAACGGCGCCCAGAGGUACAUAUUACUUUACCACCAUACGUAUCGAGCCAAUCGAAGAAGUAGAACAUAAAAAGAAAGGCGUUCUGUAACCAUCUAUAACUGUUUCUCUAUUCUAUUGAGAACGCAAACAAGGCAUAUGACGAUCUGGGCCCAAUUGUAUCGAUAGCCUUGGAUCUUUUUGUACGCCAAACAGAAACGCAAAACGGCAGGACUACGGUUAUUAGUAAAAAGCAACUACAGAUUCUAAUCUAGAUCAAGAAGUCUAUGUGAACAGGCACUACAAAAUUUAGCUAAAUUCAUCGUAGAGUUUGCACCGUUUUUGAUGCCAUAAUGAAAGUCCAGCAAAGCGAAGCAGACGAGUGCUCUGACUGUAUAAUUUCGAAGUGUGAAAUUUUCGAGGGCCCAUAACUAUACUCUUUUGAACUACAACUUGAUAGAAUUAAGCAACGGAAAGACGUAAGUAACGACGAUUCGACUAACGUCAAAAAUAAUCAAAGCCACUUUUUGUAGCCCCUACUCUUCCCGUUGUUCGUGGACAGUUUUUUGUGGACGGUGAAAAUUCAAGGUAAGGAUAUUUAUAUCUAUAUGUUGCUUCGAUACGACAGCGGUAAACGUUAAUACCCUGUAAUGGUAUUUGUACUCCUUUACUGUGCGGUGUCAAAACAACCGUAUCAAGUAAGAGAUAUUAUCUGAAAAUGCUUAGAGAAAUCAGUAAUGCGAACAUACUUCAGCAACACAAAUCUGCAAACGCUUUCUAGCAGUGCUUAAAUACCGUAUGAAAAUGUAUAGUUAGGAAAUUAAGCGUCUCACGGUUUGCGGAAUAAUGAAGAUUAAAAGAUUCCAGAGCCAAAAGGUAUGAAGUAUUCUAAGUCAAGACUCAACCAAAGACCCGAAACCUAAACUUUGCACGCAUCGAGAAGUACCUGGGAACCUAUAAUCUAGCAAACAUGCGAGGCAUCUUAAUACGAAGAAUGGCAUGGCAACAGUCUACCUUGGAGAUUACGGAAGGCCCCACAGAGUGGCGCAAUGCAUUUAUUCCUGUUGGAAAGGUUCUAUUUGCGCGUGCUUCCGCCUCGAAGGUCCUCGCGAUAAGAUUUCCGUCAAAUAGUACCCCUGCCUUCUUGACCUACUUCAUGACCCUUGCAGCUAAGGUUUACUCUCAUCACCAGCAACGAACUCCUCAAAAUAAUACUACACAUAGCAGUAAUCAGUGGAUGAACCAACUUUACAACGUGAAGUGGGCACGAAUUCGCAAACAGAGAAGCCCUAGUCGGGAGAGCAAACAACUAACGGAACGAUUUGUGUCACCGGUUUUUCGGACGAAAACUACAUGGAAUCAACACAAAAAAAGAACGAUUGCUACGAUGUGUACCCGAUCGAUAACGACCUGAAAACCGCAUCACUAUAGAUCCAACCGUUCCACAGAGCCUUACUGGAACUGAUGGGCCCACUGAUAGUAACCGCGGAUACAAGCUUUGUAGGGAAUUGCGGAGCGACUUCAUACACAGUAUAACGCUUGAUCAAUUCCCGUGUCUAGUGAAGUGCGGCAGUAGCCAGCUGACAACUCGCGUUGCACCAUGGGCGUCGUUGGCGCAGCUUCGGCGAACUGUGACACUGAUCGAUUGAUUGAUCGUUUAGCGGUCGGUGGAGCGGCGGCAGAUUCGUAAGGGCACUAUUAGUGGUAACAAUUUAGCCGUAAAAGCUAGUUAUUUAGUUAAUCGAUAUACAAACAUAUAUCAUAUGUUUAUCCGAAAUCAGCAUGAUGAUUAAGAUCGCUAGGUAUUGAUUUUAAACCUACAGAAGAUUACCGUUGGAUCAAAGAGAAGAUAAAGGUUACAUGAAGGAGACAAAAACAGCGUUAGAUAAAGAUCGCACGUAUAUAUAUAUGCCUCUAGAGGUAACAUUUAAUAAUGUGCUCUGUUAAGGAGUGGUCCAACAUAAAUCAAUUAGAUGACUUCAAAACUGCGGGAAAAUAUGGCCUAAGUGGCUAUGUAUGUAGCGGCUCACGUAUUUUGAAAAGAGAAACAACUUCUUUGGCGUAUAAUAGGUAAUUUAAUAAGGCCAACAUAAAAGAGCAAUUAUAAGCCCACUUUAAGCCACCCAAGCCCAUAUUCUAAAGAGAAUUAAUUAGAAAAAUUGAGUACACCUGGUUUGCCAAAAUAGCGAAUGAACUCGGAAAAGUGCGUGGGUUUACUACAAACAUCUAGCUGUAGUAAAAAAAAAAAAAAAAAAGCGCCAAAUU